rnacentral:rRNA from 1 species
UGAGGAAUCUUGCGCAAUGGGGGAAACCCUGACGCAGCAACGCCGCGUGAGUGAGGAAGGCCUUCGGGUCGUAAAGCUCUGUCAAGUGGGAAGAAACGGGUGAAGGCUAAUAUCCUUCAUUCUUGACGGUACCGCUGGAGGAAGCACCGGCUAACUCCGUGCCAGCAGCCGCGGUAACACGGGGGGUGCAAGCGUUGUUCGGAAUCAUUGGGCGUAAAGAGCGUGCAGGCGGCUGGGUAAGUCAGAUGUGAAAGCCCUGGGCUUAACCCAGGAAGUGCAUUUGAAACUGCUCGGCUAGAGUACGGGAGAGGAAAGUGGAAUUCCUGGUGUAGAGGUGAAAUUCGUAGAUAUCAGGAGGAACACCGGUGGCGAAGGCGACUUUCUGGCCCGAUACUGACGCUCAGGCGCGAAAGCGUGGGUAGCAAACAGG